GAGCCACCGAGGGUUAGGCUCAGCUGGUGGGCUUUGUGCUGGUGGGGCAAAGCAGGGUGAGAUGCUGCCCGGGCAGGCUCAACAUGCAGCUGGGAGGUGGCACUGACUCUGUCAGCACUUCUACACUCCCCUUCUACAGCAUCAAGUGUGCUGGUCCGAGCCACCUGUAGCUGAAGUGGGCUCGUUGGACUUUGCACUGGAGCAAAGUGGAGGAGAGGAUGCUGCCAGUCUGUCUGUUACAAGUUACCUUAUGUGGGAUACGGGAAGGAGAAGAGUCUUCCAGCUUCAUUGCUAGCCAUUGUCCCUGUGCCCUCUAACAAGGGCUAAGAGUACUUCCUUAUGCACAGAGGAGUGAGAGGCUGCCAGGAGAGGACACGCUGGGAAAGUGGAGUGUGGCAAAAGUCGUUGCAGUGAUUUGUGCUCUUGACUCGGCGAAGUAUCAGGCCAAUGGUAUACACGUGCCAUAAGGACAGUAUUCCCAGUCUCACAGAGCUAUCGUAAUUUUGUCUGUGCUUAUUAUAGUUACAGGAAUGCAUUAACAUUAAAAUAUAUGGGCUAAAAA